rnacentral:rRNA from 1 species
UACGUAGGGGGCUAGCGUUGUCCGGAUUUAUUGGGCGUAAAGAGCGUGUAGGCGGUCAGGUAGGUCCGUUGUGAAAACUCGAGGCUCAACCUCGAGACGCCGAUGGAAACCAUCUGACUAGAGUCCGGAAGAGGAGAGUGGAAUUCCUGGUGUAGCGGUGAAAUGCGCAGAUAUCAGGAAGAACGCCCGUGGCUAAGGCGGCUCUCUAGUACGGUACUGACGCUGAGACGCGAAAGCGUGGGGAGCGAACAGG